rnacentral:rRNA from 1 species
UGCAAGUCGACGAUGAGCCCUUCGGGGUGGAUUAGUGGCGAACGGGUGAGUAACACGUGGGCAAUCUGCCCUUCACUCUGGGACAAGCCCUGGAAACGGGGUCUAAUACCGGAUGAUACUUCCACUCGCAUGGGUGGGGGUUGAAAGCUCCGGCGGUGAAGGAUGAGCCCGCGGCCUAUCAGCUUGUUGGUGAGGUAGUGGCUCACCAAGGCGACGACGGGUAGCCGGCCUGAGAGGGCGACCGGCCACACUGGGACUGAGACACGGCCCAGACUCCUACGGGAGGCAGCAGUGGGGAAUAUUGCACAAUGGGCGAAAGCCUGAUGCAGCGACGCCGCGUGAGGGAUGACGGCCUUCGGGUUGUAAACCUCUUUCAGCAGGGAAGAAGCGAAAGUGACGGUACCUGCAGAAGAAGCGCCGGCUAACUACGUGCCAGCAGCCGCGGUAAUACGUAGGGCGCAAGCGUUGUCCGGAAUUAUUGGGCGUAAAGAGCUCGUAGGCGGUCUGUCGCGUCGGAUGUGAAAGCCCGGGGCUUAACCCCGGGUCUGCAUUCGAUACGGGCAGACUAGAGUGUGGUAGGGGAGAUCGGAAUUCCUGGUGUAGCGGUGAAAUGCGCAGAUAUCAGGAGGAACACCGGUGGCGAAGGCGGAUCUCUGGGCCAUUACUGACGCUGAGGAGCGAAAGCG